UUUCAGUUGAGAAGCUGCCUUUGCAGUGGAGAUUCCAGGAACUUAUCCCUUUUGAAUGGGAUGACCACAAAGAGUCUAGAGGAGCAGAUAUGAGUGACCAGAUCCUAGAGGUCAAAGAGCAUAAGAAGCCUCUCACGCUAAACAUCACAGCUGGGAAUAUGCUGGACCACAACUAAAGCCAGCAUGGCACUGACUCUGACCAAAGGUGAGACCCAGUACUCAUCAAGGUGAGUACAGCCUGUCUACCGCUGUUGGUUAUUUCGGGCCCAAGGGUACUUUAGUUAGCAGGUGAUGAAUCCUUC
rnacentral:lncRNA from 1 species